GUGCAGGCCUUGGGGUGCUGCCGUGCGACGCUGGAGCCCGUCGGAGCCUCUGGGUGUGGUCACCCAUGGGCUUGAGGACACUGGGCGGCCUGCCAGCGUGCCAGCGACUGGAACCCAGAAGGCUCCUUGGGAGGGAGGGACACGUGGCUUGUCCCUAGACCCCGAGGGCACAGUCUACUUAGUCUAGUCACCCCAGAGGAGAGAACAGCUUUCCAGCGACUCUAGCCAACCACCCGAUGACGCAUGCACUUUCCGGAGACAGACCAUCUUCUCAAAGCCUCUGGGGCAAAACGAGAUCAGACUGUCCAUGAAAACCCAGCUGACUUUCAGAGAAAAAGAAACCCAGUGGUUCCUCUUUAUCCAUGCCUUUCAGCUAAUCCCACAGCCGAAAAGAGAGAAGAAGGAUUUUGGGGCACACAUGGACACACGCCUGGCAUGAUUUUC